CACUGAAUGCUGGAAGGCUUACUUUAAUUUCCAUCAAAGUUUUACUGCUUUAUAGAUAAAAACUUAAUUGGAAUAACAUAUUUCUUGGCAUUCAAUAAAAAGCAGAUUAAGAUAUAGUCUCAAGAAUUCAGAGGGUGAUUUUAGCCCACACACCUGCAUAUCAACAGCUAAAAUAAAUUAGAAGGUUACUUAUUGUCCCUGAAGCCAUAGGGAAUGACCAUUGCUGACUUCAAUCAGCCUCGCUGAGCAGUUUGCAUGCAAAGCUGCCUAAAGCCAACAGGUCACAUUUUACAUUUAUUCGUCUGGUAUUAAUGAUGUUAUCAGUCUUGAUUGUAACUCAAAUGCCUUACAAGAUCCUCAGAAUUUACAUUCAGCGUGAGAAGCUGUACCUCUCAGUGAAGGAUGCCAAUCCCCUGGAGCAAUGUAAGUGAGCAGGAAACCAGCAUACUUUGGAAGUUAUAAUUUCCCGGCUCUUGUGCCCACAGUUCUUGCCAGCAUAAUAUCUCUGCCAGCACAAACUUCCGAGCUUUGAUCAUCAUUCCUUCCAAUACUUUUUGUUUCAAUAACAUAUAACGGGAACUAAAAAAUGAAAAUUGAGAGAUAAGGCUGUGUUUGCAUGUUCAGUAUUUGUGGGAAAGCAUACAGCAAAAAAAAUUGAAAUAUGUCAAGAAUGUCACAAGUAUCAAAGACCAUUUGACCAGAAUUUAGAAAUGUGUUAAAAUGUGUUAAAAGGUAACUCUCAGAAUUGUAUGCUGUCAACCUGCAGAUGGUUCCAAAGGACAAUAUUAAAUGUUACAUUUAAAUAGACUUUAAGUUUUGUUUGUAUUUACUAAAUUGGUUAAUCUAAAGGAAAUAAGAUCAUAUUAUGGGUGUAUCAGGAUGUGACAAGUUGGAAACUGAAGGCAGUUAGUCUGAGCAUUGAAGUUAAGGAUGCUUAAUAUUGGACGUAUUAAUAUUCAGUGGAUUAACACUGUGGACUUACACUCAGUGGUCGCUUUAUUAGUUGGAUAUAUUUUAGUUUUUGCACCAUUUUCUGUAACUUUAGAGACUGUUAGUGUGAAAAUCCCAGGAAAUCUGCAGUUUCUGAGGUACUCAGGCCACCCCAUCUGGCACCAACAGUCAUUCCAUGGUCAACUCAUUUAUAUCACAUUUUUUCCACAUCCUGAUGUUUGGUCUGAACAACAACUGAACCUCUUGACCAUGUCUGCAUGCUUUUAUGUAUUUAGUUGCUGCCACAUGUUUGACUAAUUAGAUAUUUGAAUUAACAAGGUGUACAGAUGUACCAAAUAAAUUGGCCACUGAGUGUAUAUUAGCAUCUAGCAGACUCAUAAUGACGUGGUUCACCAGCCUUACUCUCUAAUCUCUGUAUGCUUUCCCACAAAUAGGCUAAGAUAAAAAUUCAUGGUCACCAUCCGGGCAUCUGGAACUGCCUUGAAACACUUCAAGAAAUUUGAUAAUGCAUUUAGUAUUCAGAAAGGACCAUGCAUUUGCAUACUAAUCUGGUGGAUGGAACAUCCUUUUGAAAUAGUAAUUCAUUCCAUUCCAUCCAGUGUACCAGAGCCUCAAAUUUCCCAAGAUUCUGUGCAAUCAUUGACUUUAUUCCCAAAUUCAUUCAGUAUUCAGGAAUUCAUUGGUUAUUAAUAGGCACAAAGCCCCUGGACAGGAUGGGAAUUGAUACAGCCCAAGGCCCAAAUUUGCUGUCUACAUUGAACACACAGGUGCAUAAUAAUGCAACCUUUUGAGAAUUCUGGAGUCCCAUCCCACCACUCUCCAAUGAAUUACGUCAAGGUCAGGCUGCCUGGAUUAGAAAACAAAUCUUAUGAGGGAAGUUUGAGCAAGCUAGGGAUUUUCUGUCUGGAAAGAAAGAAGAUGAGAGGUAGGUUUGGGUUUGGAUACUUGAUCCUCCACAAUAUUCCACAUGGGAAUUUAAACUGGAGAUGGCAGUGUCUUUUUUUUUACAAGGUUGAGUUGCGAGCUCGACAUCAACCCGGCACGGAUGGAGAGCAUGCCCGGGAGCGGUCUGUCCCUGGGUUGAACAUGGGAGCCUCCGUUCUCGAGCCUGGUGCUGACCUCACUGUGCCACCAUCGACCUGGUGGAUAAGAUGAUGAAGGAUUGAUGGUGUGGGCAGCCAGCGCCACAAUGGCCACUAUGAGAGCGCAUAACAUUAAAGUGAUUGGAAGAGAGAAAAGGGACACAUCAGAGGUCAUUCAUAAAAAUCACAGAGGUCCUAGAACAGAUCCCUGAGGCACACCAUUGGUGACCCACCACCAUGCAGAAAAUGACCCGUCUAUAACCAAUUAAGACGGCAGCAGAGGAGAAAAGUUGUCUACAGGCAGAAGACUCUGUCGGACAGUGAUAAUGUACGUUGCCGCAGGCCUGUUACCCUUGUCUGGUGGAGGGAUAGACAACUUGGGAGCUGCGUAGCCUCGGUUGUAGUGAGAACAAGGCAUCAAGCAUCCGGCUUGCCUGCUGCUGCAGACCAGUCGAGAGAUGCGGAAGCACUACAGCGUGACCUCGCCCGCAGGUGCUGCCCUCCCUUGUUAAUCAGUGGAAUGACAGGCUGGAUUGAGUGCAUCUGUACACCACUGGGAGACUGUACCAUCGAUUGCUGGACAUUGCCGCUCAGGGUCUUGGACUAUAAAUGUCUCCUUUUCGAGUGAAUAUGCUUCUUUGCUUGAUACUUGAAUUACGUUACUAAUUAUUUUUGAAUAUUUGCUUGCUGUUUUUGAAUAUUUUGCACCUUGGCUCCAGAGGAAUGCUGUCUCAUUCAGCUGCAUCUAUGCAUGGUCUGAAUGAUAAUUAACCUUGAUUUGAUUUGAUCCAGGCCUUUCAUACAAACUAAAUACUAGCUUGAGAUUCAUUUUCUUGCAGACAAAUUACAAAUAUUGUGAGCUCCCUAUCUAGAUAAGAUAUGCUGGUUUGAGAAAGAAGCUCAUUACCCCUUCUAGGGCAUUUAAGUAUGAAAAGUUACCCUAUCGAUAGUGAUCAUAUCCCAUUUAUGAAUAAAAUAAAAUGUUUUAAACAUAAUAAGACCUCCACAGGAGCAUUGGGAAACAAUGCCAUGCCACAGAAGGAUGUAUUAGGACAGGUGGCCAAGUGAUAGGCUUGAAAGGAUUAUCGUAGAGAGGGGUGAAAAGUUAGAUAGACUUUGGGGGCUUAUUGCCCUGCAGAUGAGGGCAGCACAGUGGCAUAGCAGCUAGGGCAAUGCUACUACUGUGCCAGCAAUCUCGGCUCAAUUCCUGCCGGCGUCUGUAAGGAAUUUAUACGUUCUCCCUGUGACUGUGUGGAUUUCCGCCGGGUGCUCAGCUUCCUCUCACAUUCCAAAAACGAAUGGGUUAGUAGGUUAACUGAUCACAUGGGUAUUAGUGGGUGGCAUGGGUUUGUUGGGCUGGAAGGGCCUGUAAUCAUGUUGUAUCUCUAAAUUUUAUAAAAUAAAGAGUGAAUGCUACUAGUGGAGCAAUUAACUUUGGAUCAUUCUACUUUAGUUUUUCAUGUCCCUGACUUGCACGAAAUAAAUUAAUGCCAUUUUUGCAAAACUAUCACUGAUGUCCCAAGGCGUCCAAUUUAUUCACUGUGCUGUACAGUGAAGUUCUCAUUGUGUCCUUUACUAUUAUUUUGAUUAGAAGCUGAUUGGCAAAAGGUUAAAACAUUAAUGCUCAAAAACAAAAUUGUUAAUUUAGUGUUAAUUCUCCAUGAAUUUAAUUUAAAAUGCAUUAACUAUAAGCCAAAUGAGGUUUACUAGUCAAAACUGGGAGAUUAUAGCUUCGAGGUAUCGUGAGCUGUCUGCAGCCUAUGGCUUUGCUGGAGGAACUAUGUUAACUGCAUCC